UUUGCGUGUCAUGAGUUUCCAUGUUCAACUUUAAUUAUUCGUUUUAUUUAAAAUUAUUUUAUUAUUACAAUGUGAUAAAAUAUAAAUAUUAUUUUAUGCAUGACUUAUGUUUUUUAUGUUUUUAUUUUUUUAAAUAAGAUAAAUGAUUGAAGUUGGACAUGAAAACUAAUGGAUGCUCUUAAA
rnacentral:pre_miRNA from 1 species